rnacentral:rRNA from 1 species
AUUGAACGCUGGCGGCAUGCCUUACACAUGCAAGUCGAACGGCAGCGGACCUUCGGGUGCCGGCGAGUGGCGAACGGGUGAGUAAUAUAUCGGAACGUACCUUUCAGUGGGGGAUAACGUAGCGAAAGUUACGCUAAUACCGCAUAUUCUGUGAGCAGGAAAGCAGGGGAUCGCAAGACCUUGCGCUGAUUGAGCGGCCGAUAUCAGAUUAGCUAGUUGGUGAGGUAAAGGCUCACCAAGGCGACGAUCUGUAGCGGGUCUGAGAGGAUGAUCCGCCACACUGGAACUGAGACACGGUCCAGACUCCUACGGGAGGCAGCAGUGGGGAAUUUUGG